AAAAAAGGUAAGCUACUAAGAGCGAAUGGUGGAUGCCUUGACUGGUAAAGGCGAUGAAGGACGUACUAGACUGCGAUAAGCUACGGGGAGCUGUCAAGAAGCUUUGAUCCGUAGAUUUCCGAAUGGGGCAACCCAAUGUAUAGAGAUAUACAUUACCUAUAUAGGAGCGAACGAGGGGAAUUGAAACAUCUUAGUACCCUCAGGAAAAGAAAUCAAUAGAGAUUGCGUCAGUAGCGGCGAGCGAAAGCGCAAGAGGGCAAACCCAGUGCUUGCACUGGGGGUUGUAGGACUGCAAUGUGCAAGAGGUAAGUUUAGCAGAACAUUCUGGAAAGUAUAGCCAUAGAGGGUGAUAGUCCCGUAUGCGAAAAACAAACCUUAGCUAGCAGUAUCCUGAGUAGGGCGGGACACGAGGAAUCCUGUCUGAAUCCGGGUCGACCACGAUCCAACCCUAAAUACUAAUACCAGAUCGAUAGUGCACAAGUACCGUGAGGGAAAGGUGAAAAGAACUGAGGUGAUCAGAGUGAAAUAGAACCUGAAACCAUUUGCUUACAAUCAUUCAGAGCCCUAUGUAGCAAUACAGGGUGAUGGACUGCCUUUUGCAUAAUGAGCCUGCGAGUUGUGGUGUCUGGCAAGGUUAAGCAAACGCGAAGCCGUAGCGAAAGCGAGUCUGAAUAGGGCGCUUAGUCAGAUGCUGCAGACCCGAAACGAAGUGAUCUAUCCAUGAGCAAGUUGAAGCUAGUGUAAGAACUAGUGGAGGACUGAACCCAUAGGCGUUGAAAAGCCCCGGGAUGACUUGUGGAUAGGGGUGAAAGGCCAAUCAAACUUCGUGAUAGCUGGUUCUCUCCGAAAUAUAUUUAGGUAUAGCGUUGUGUCGUAAUAUAAGGGGGUAGAGCACUGAAUGGGCUAGGGCAUACACCAAUGUACCAAACCCUAUCAAACUCCGAAUACCUUAUAUGUAAUCACAGCAGUCAGGCGGCGAGUGAUAAAAUCCGUCGUCAAGAGGGAAACAACCCAGACUACCAGCUAAGGUCCCUAAGUCUUACUUAAGUGGAAAACGAUGUGAAGUUACUUAAACAACCAGGAGGUUGGCUUAGAAGCAGCCAUCCUUUAAAGAAAGCGUAAUAGCUCACUGGUCUAGUGAUUUUGCGCGGAAAAUAUAACGGGGCUAAAGUAAGUACCGAAGCUGUAGACUUGCACACAACUUAGAUUAUUUAAGUUUAGAAUAUGAGAAACUAAGUUAUAUGUUUAGUUAUAUUUUUACUGAUUUUUAUAGAGUAAAGAUAGAAAUAAAACUUAGUGAAAUCAGUAAAAAUAUUCUUAGGCUAAAGUUAAGUAGUUUAAGUUGUGUGCAAGUGGUAGGAGAGCGUUCUAUUUGCGUCGAAGGUAUACCGGUAAGGAGUGCUGGAGCGAAUAGAAGUGAGCAUGCAGGCAUGAGUAGCGAUAAUUAAUGUGAGAAUCAUUAACGCCGUAAACCCAAGGUUUCCUACGCGAUGCUCGUCAUCGUAGGGUUAGUCGGGUCCUAAGUCGAGUCCGAAAGGGGUAGACGAUGGCAAAUUGGUUAAUAUUCCAAUACCAACAUUAGUGUGCGAUGGAAGGACGCUUAGGGCUAAGGGGGCUAGCGGAUGGAAGUGCUAGUCUAAGGUUGUAGGAGGUUAUACAGGCAAAUCCGUAUAACAAUACUCCGAGAACUGAAAGGCUUUUUGAAGUCUUCGGAUGGAUAGAAGAACCCCUGAUGCCGUCGAGCCAAGAAAAGUUUCUAAGUUUAGCUAAUGUUGCCCGUACCGUAAACCGACACAGGUGGGUGGGAUGAGUAUUCUAAGGCGCGUGGAAGAACUCUCUUUAAGGAACUCUGCAAAAUAGCACCGUAUCUUCGGUAUAAGGUGUGGUUAGCUUCGUACUAGGAUUUACUCCGAAAGCGAAGAAACUUACAACAAAGAGUCCCUCCCGACUGUUUACCAAAAACACAGCACUCUGCUAACUCGUAAGAGGAUGUAUAGGGUGUGACGCCUGCCCGGUGCUCGAAGGUUAAUUGAUGGGGUUAGCAUUAGCGAAGCUCUUGAUCGAAGCCCGAGUAAACGGCGGCCGUAACUAUAACGGUCCUAAGGUAGCGAAAUUCCUUGUCGGUUAAAUACCGACCUGCAUGAAUGGCGUAACGAGAUGGGAGCUGUCUCAAAGAGGGAUCCAGUGAAAUUGUAGUGGAGGUGAAAAUUCCUCCUACCCGCGGCAAGACGGAAAGACCCCGUGGACCUUUACUACAGCUUGACACUGCUACUUGGAUAAGAAUGUGCAGGAUAGGUGGGAGGCUUUGAGUAUAUGACGCCAGUUGUAUAUGAGCCAUUGUUGAGAUACCACUCUUUCUUAUUUGGGUAGCUAACCAGCUUGAGUUAUCCUCAAGUGGGACAAUGUCUGGUGGGUAGUUUGACUGGGGCGGUCGCCUCCCAAAUAAUAACGGAGGCUUACAAAGGUUGGCUCAGAACGGUUGGAAAUCGUUCGUAGAGUAUAAAGGUAUAAGCCAGCUUAACUGCAAGACAUACAAGUCAAGCAGAGACGAAAGUCGGUCUUAGUGAUCCGGUGGUUCUGUGUGGAAGGGCCAUCGCUCAAAGGAUAAAAGGUACCCCGGGGAUAACAGGCUGAUCUCCCCCAAGAGCUCACAUCGACGGGGAGGUUUGGCACCUCGAUGUCGGCUCAUCGCAUCCUGGGGCUGGAGCAGGUCCCAAGGGUAUGGCUGUUCGCCAUUUAAAGCGGUACGCGAGCUGGGUUCAGAACGUCGUGAGACAGUUCGGUCCCUAUCUGCCGUGGGCGUAAGAAGAUUGAAGAGAUUUGACCCUAGUACGAGAGGACCGGGUUGAACAAACCACUGGUGUAGCUGUUGUUCUGCCAAGAGCAUCGCAGCGUAGCUAAGUUUGGAAAGGAUAAACGCUGAAAGCAUCUAAGCGUGAAGCCAACUCUAAGAUGAAUCUUCUCUAAGCUCUCUAGAAGACUACUAGUUUGAUAGGCUGGGUGUGUAAUGGAUGAAAGUCCUUUAGCUGACCAGUACUAAUAGAGCGUUUGGCUUAUCUUUAAUAAAGCAU
rnacentral:rRNA from 1 species